ACCCUUUAAUGUUUGAUGUUCUAACGUGGACCCGUAAUCCGGGUUGCGGACAGUGUCUGGUGGGUAGUUUGACUGGGGCGGUCUCCUCCUAAAGAGUAACGGAGGAGCACGAAGGUUGGCUAAUCCUGGUCGGACAUCAGGAGGUUAGUGCAAUGGCAUAAGCCAGCUUGACUGCGAGCGUGACGGCGCGAGCAGGUGCGAAAGCAGGUCAUAGUGAUCCGGUGGUUCUGAAUGGAAGGGCCAUCGCUCAACGGAUAAAAGGUACUCCGGGGAUAACAGGCUGAUACCGCCCAAGAGUUCAUAUCGACGGCGGUGUUUGGCACCUCGAUGUCGGCUCAUCACAUCCUGGGGCUGAAGUAGGUCCCAAGGGUAUGGCUGUUCGCCAUUUAAAGUGGUACGCGAGCUGGGUUUAGAACGUCGUGAGACAGUUCGGUCCCUAUCUGCCGUGGGCGCUGGAGAAUUGAGGGGGGCUGCUCCUAGUACGAGAGGACCGGAGUGGACGCAUCACUGGUGUUCGGGUUGUCAUGCCAAUGGCACUGCCCGGUAGCUAAAUGCGGAAAAGAUAAGUGCUGAAAGCAUCUAAGCACGAAACUUGCCCCGAGAUGAGUUCUCCCUGAGACUAUAAGUCUCCUGAAGGAACGUUGAAGACGACGACGUUGAUAGGUCGGGUGUGUAAGCGUAGCGAUACGUUGAGCUAACCGGUACUAAUGAACCGUGAGGCUU
rnacentral:rRNA from 1 species